rnacentral:rRNA from 1 species
CCUACGGGAGGCAGCAGUGGGGAAUAUUGGGCAAUGGGCGCAAGCCUGACCCAGCAACGCCGCGUGAAGGAAGAAGGCUUUCGGGUUGUAAACUUCUUUUGUCAGGGACGAAGCAAGUGACGGUACCUGACGAAUAAGCCACGGCUAACUACGUGCCAGCAGCCGCGGUAAUACGGAGGAUGCGAGCGUUAUCCGGAUUUAUGGGGGUUAAAGGGUGCGCAGGCGGCCUGUUAAGUCAGCGGUAAAAGCCCGGGGCUCAACCGCGGCGAGCCGUUGAAACUGGCGGGCUGGAGUUGGAGAGAAGGACGCGGAAUGCGCGGGGUAGCGGUGAAAUGCGUAGAUAGCGCGCAGAACCCCGAUUGCGAAGGCAGCGUACCGGCUCCACACUGACGCUGAGGCACGAAAGCGUGGGUAUCGAACAGGAUUAGAUACCCGUGUAGUC